AACGAACGCUGGCGGCAGGCCUAACACAUGCAAGUCGAGCGAGGACUUCGGUCCUAGCGGCGGACGGGUGAGUAACGCGUGGGAACGUGCCCUUUGCUUCGGAAUAGCCCUGGGAAACUGGGAGUAAUACCGGAUGAGCCCUUUGGGGGAAAGAUUUAUCGGCGAAGGAUCGGCCCGCGUUGGAUUAGGUAGUUGGUGGGGUAAUGGCCUACCAAGCCGACGAUCCAUAGCUGGUUUGAGAGGAUGAUCAGCCACACUGGGACUGAGACACGGCCCAGACUCCUACGGGAGGCAGCAGUGGGGAAUCUUAGACAAUGGGGGAAACCCCGAUCUAGCCAUGCCGCGUGAGCGAUGAAGGCCUUAGGGUUGUAAAGCUCUUUCAGCUGGGAAGAUAAUGACGGUACCAGCAGAAGAAGCCCCGGCUAACUCCGUG
rnacentral:rRNA from 1 species